GACGAACGCUGGCGGCGUGCUUAACACAUGCAAGUCGAACGAAGAGCGAUGGAAGCUUGCUUCUAUCACUCUUAGUGGCGAACGGGUGAGUAACGCGUAAUCAACCUGCCCUUCAGAGGGGGACAACAGUUGGAAACGACUGCUAAUACCGCAUACGGUCUAAUCUCGGCAUCGAGGAUAGAUGAAAGGUGGCCUCUACAUGUAAGCUAUCACUGAAGGAGGGGAUUGCGUCUGAUUAGCUAGUUGGAGGGGUAACGGCCCACCAAGGCGAUGAUCGGUAGCCGGUCUGAGAGGAUGAACGGCCACAUUGGGACUGAGACACGGCCCAGACUCCUACGGGAGGCAGCAGUGGGGAAUCUUCCGCAAUGGACGAAAGUCUGACGGAGCAACGCCGCGGGAGUGAUGACGGCCUUCGGGUUGUAAAGCUCUGUUAAUCGGGACGAAAGGCCUUCUUGCGAAUAGUGAGAAGGAUUGACGGUACCGGAAGAGAAAGCCACGGCUAACUACGUG
rnacentral:rRNA from 1 species